UACGUAGGGGGCAAGCGUUGUCCGGAUUUACUGGGCGUAAAGAGCGUGUAGGCGGCCAGGCAGGUCUGUUGUGAAAACUGGAGGCUCAACUUCCAGACGUCGACAGAAACCGCUUGGCUAGAGUCCGGAAGAGGAGAGUGGAAUUCCUGGUGUAGCGGUGAAAUGCGCAGAUAUCAGGAAGAACACCGAUGGCGAAGGCGGCAUCCUGGACCGGCAUUGACGCUGAGGAGCGAAAGCCAGGGGAGCAAACGGG
rnacentral:rRNA from 1 species